UAAUAAGUAAAAUGAAAAUAAUACCCUGGUAUCGUGAUUUUCCAGACCAAGCCCCAAAACCAUCCCAGUCUGACUCCUGAGGCACAGAAUUUAACCUGGUCAAAAAUUACAUUUGUUAUUCGUUAGUAUUUUACUUAUUUAUAUUACCCCCCCCAACAGAGAAAACGUUAUUGUCUUCUAAGUUCAGUCAUCAUUUGAAUAGGUGGUCACAGAAUUAUUUGAUUUUAGCCAAUGCUAACGCAACAAGAUGACAUGAGAGAAGAAGGGGAGGGGUUUAUGCUCCCUUGACAAGUGUGCUCUUAAGUCCCUAUGGGGAAAAAAAGAUACACUUGAAGUUUGCUUCCAUUAUUUUUCAUGGCAAAAAUAUUUUACUAACAAAAGUGCUACUGUAGACAAAGCCCUAGUGAGCAAUGCAAAGCACUUCCACUUUUCUUCUCUUAACCACCAGGGGCUGAGAGCAUUGUUCCCACUGUUAUGGGCUUGUGUAAUGAGCAUUCAGGAGUCAGCCUGGCUGAAAAGAAGGCACAGCACUUUCAUUAUACUUCUCGAACUUUUUAGAACAUAAUGGGCAUGCUGAGAGGCUUCCCAUUAGCACAGUCAGCCCCAUGUGAGAUCUAUCUUUACAUCCCCCUAAAACAACAUAGAAGUAAGCUAUCAGCAUGGUCAGUAGAUGUAACAUUUUCCAAAGUCGUGUCAUUAAUUCAUUGUAGUGUAUUUCAGUCCUGUUAGUGUCUGGGAGAUUUUUCUCCAGGCAUGACUGUUAAAGUUCCUCUUGCCUGUAUUCUGACUUCCCUUCAUAGGUGCCUGGAUUUGUCAGCCUUAGCAAUGCUGGUGUCUGUAAUGAUUCUACAAUGGUUCCUGUCAUGCUUCUGCACUCACUGACACAGAUUUUCUCAUGGCCUUUUCUGUUCCUUGAGGAAUCCAGUUUUUGUCUAUUUUCCCAAAUGCCAAGCAAUAUAAUUUUUUCAGCAGUUCCCUUAAAAGUGUAUUGAUCAUCUGUACAUUUUAAAUUCAUUUUGCUAGUUUAUCAUCCCCUUAAAUCACUGUUCAUUCAUAGGGUACAUCUGCACUGCAAUAAAAGGCCUGCAGCACAGCUGCAGUUGGCCAAGAUCAGCUGACUUGAGCUCAAAGGGUUCGGACUGUGGAGCUAAACAUUACAUUAUAGGCAUUUGGGCUUGGGCUGGAGCCUAGGGACUGAAACCCUGUUAGGAGGUUGAGUGUCAGAACCUGGGCUCCAGCCCAAGCCCCGAACGUCUGCACUGCAAGUUUUAGCCCCGCAGCCCAAACCCCAUCAGCCCAAGUCAAUUGACCCUGACUCUAAGACUCAGUGACGCUGUUUUUUAUUGCAGUGUAGAUGUACCCAUAGAGUCAUAGAUUUUAAGACCACAAGGGACAAUUAGAUCAUCUAGUCUGAUCACAGGCCAUAGAAUUUCACCCAGUUAGCCCUGUAUUGAGCCCAAUAAUUUGCAUUUGACUAAAACAUAUCUUCCAGAAAGGCAUCCAGUCUCGAUCUGAGGACAUCAAGAGAUUGAGAAUCCACCACUGCCCUUGGGAGUAUGUUCUGAUGAUUACUCGCCUGCACUGACAAAAAUGUGAAGAAAGAAAUGAUGGAUUAAAGUGGGGAGAAAAACCGCAAGCUGGAAACUUUUGAGCUGGACUUGUGUGUGGAGCCGCUACCCCUUCAUCACUAGAUGUCGCUGUGAGGCAGGAUUUUCAGGAGUUCUCAUUUUGUGCCAGCAUGGCAGAAUGUGUCGCCCACCCUUCCUCGGCCUGGCACUCGGGCAGGCAGCCCCCUCACACCUCUGCCCUCUGCCCUUUGGAGCUCACGGAUCGGGGAGUUACUGAGCAGGCGCCACCGUUGGAGCAGCCUCCGCCAUCCCUGGAUCUGGGCGGCGAGGAGGAUAUAGACUCGCCGCUGGAUCCUGACGUGCCCUAUCCCGACUUGGCGCCUGUGGUGUUCUUUUGCUUGAAACAGACCACCAGUCCCCGCAACUGGUGCAUCAAAAUGAGCAGCUCAGCUGUUGCAAUGUGUGAUCAAAAGGAGCUGCUUUCCGAAGGGAGAACUUCAAAGAAAGCGAGUGUCGGCCGGAAUGACACAGACAGGGAUGGGGGCAGGGAGAAGAGAGAGGACAGUCUUUUCAAAAUGUAUUUCCACACCUUCCUGUUACUGAGUCAGUGACAGUGGGAUGGCUUGAAGGUGCAGGGAAAGGGGUACUCCCAGCUCCUGCUGGCUUAUCACUAGGUCUUUAGUUCAAUGAGGGAUAUUUAUUUAUCUAACAGUGCUGUACAUACCAUGAACUCAGCCUCUGCUUGGAGACAGAGCUAAAGUUCCUGCUUCUCAGUUGCGGGGCCAUUAGAAUAACCCUCAUACUGCUAGCUAGUGAGCAUAAACUAGCUGCUGAGUGUCUUCACCUGGGGAUAUCUCCUCUCUAGAUUCCACCAGGAUCAACGAUGAGCCUGCUCCAGAGAAUCCAUUGCAGGUUUGAUUCUGGUGCAUCCUGGGACAGGAAUUUGGGAGUUUAGUGAGUGUUGUGAGGAUACUUCUGUAAUGUAGAUAUGAUCAGCAAAUCUCAUCGUCACACCCCUCACUACUGAAUCUCACAGCCCUGACUUUCCAUAUGGGCACAGUAUGUAAAAGGGGGGUUAUUAGAUAUAGGGAACUUUGAAAGAUCCUAGAAUUUGCAGAGAUGAAACAGCAUACAAAAAGCUGAAGCUUUAUUCAAAACUCUUCUAGCUGGAAAUCUCAGUGAGAUUGGAGUUUCUCCUGAAGAUUUCCAAGGCUUCCCUGGUUUGUGGCUGGGUGGGAAAUACCCAUUUCUUAUUAUGAUAUUUUGAUGGAUUUGCUUCUAGGUUAAAUUGGAAAGCUAAGGGAUGCCGCAGAAGCUUACAAAAAUAUUACUGAGAGAUUUUCAAUAACCUGAUCCUGAAUGAAGCCUCUAGGUGCUACCAAUAAUAAAGAAUUAGCAGGUUGGGUUUUGUUUGAAAUUUAGGGAAAUAGUUGUGGUUCUGAGUUGAGUUAUCUAUGAUGAUGGUUCAGGGAGAGCCAAGUGUGAUGGGUCAGAAGUUCUUAGGAAGGUUCUGAUUUUCAAAUUCUGGGUGACAGUUGAGAUUUGCGGCAGAGAUUUAGGGUUGGGAUGUCCCAUUAUAUUGGAAGUUCUUCAGGCAUUGAGCCUUGAUGUUGGAAUAUGUACGUUUCAGCUUUCUUCCUCAUGUGUCCCCCAGCACUCACUAAACUCCUGACCCCCUGUCUCAGCCUACAGUGGGCUCAGAGUAAAAUUAUAGAGAGAGAUGUAUUUGUUAGCUAAAAGUUUGAUUCAUGGUGUAGGAGAAAAAUUAUGAACCAGGCUUAAGUUUGAGAUGAAGGUUUCUGUUUCAGUUUGUGAAGAUGUGGUUUGAUUUGUUUGUAUUGCGCGGGGGUGGAGGGAAGGUUUGCAUUGAUUUUGGGGCAGAGGUUCAGGCCCAUGUUAUCUGAGUUUUCUGUGUAAGUUUGAAUUUGUGAUGACUGUUGGUGGCUUUAAGAUGCUUGAGUUAUGAUAUUCAGGUUUAAGUUUGGGCAUCAGUUUGUCCAUCUUUCACGUUUGAAUUUACUAUGGUUAAAUGCUGAGAGAGCAUAUCCUACCAUCACAUACAGAAAAUGGCCUGUGCAACCUUGGGGCUGAGGAGGAAAGGGGAAACUCCCUUGGAUUGGCUGUGAUGGCUCUCCACCCUCCCAGUUACCAUGUGAUGUGUAUGUGGCAAUGGAUGGAUAGCCUUGCUAUGUUUGGAAACAAUAUUGGGUUUUUAAAAAAGGAAUAUUUCAGUGCAACUUUUUCAGCUAAAUUAAUUCCCUAAUGUUCGGGAAGAGUUUGCAAACAUUAUUUUGAAAAUAUUGUGCUCCUCUUUCUCCACUUAUUUUUUGUAUUUCCCUGCUCUACAUUCUUGACUGCUAAGGGAUGUUUGUAUGGAAAUUGGAUCUUCAGAGCUCCCAUGCUUGACUGCUGCUUCCCAACCUGAGGUUAAGAGUGCAACUAUAUCACCUGUUGUCUCAUCGGCUCUCCCAGGCCAAGCAGGGAGAGGCCUGGUCACUAUCUGGGUGGGAGAAGCUCAGGAAAGCCCAGGUGCUCCAGAUUUAGGGGCACUGAUUAAAUGGGAGAUGCUCUUUUGUCUGACUUUCUUUUUGUCCAAUACUGUACCAUAGUUAAGGAAGGAAGUUGUGCUAUGGAAUUACUGUCAGAUGGAACUUAAAACCUAGGUCCUGGCCAUUAGAUCACAUGACACUUUUGGCAAGCACAGGAGCCUUACCCACCCAGAUUCUAAUUUGGGUAAUCCCAUUCCAUCUAUUUAAAAAUUCCCCCUGCAGAAUAUUCCUCCUACCCUGAAUAGUGCUGCAGUAUUCCAGUGAACUAUUAAACAACACUCACAUUCCAUUGCUGCGGUUCAGUAUAUACGCACACAAAGUUUUAAAGAAUUUCUGGGUGCAAGGCACUGCUUAAAUGUGAGAUGUUGUUGUUGCAAAAGUUGUAGACUCUAUUUCCCUUUUAAAAAAGUGGAUUAAAUUGCUAAACAUAAAAGUUUUGGAGCCAUAAACCCCCAAAGAGAAUAUCGAUCACCCCCUUUGCUCAAAAGUGGAGUGUAAACUGCUCUCCUUGUCGUUAUAUUGUGUGUUGAAAAGGAGCCUGUUGCUUUAAGACUAGGAGCUGAUCAGACAUUCCCAGGGCAGUUUUGCAUACAGUCAGAACUAGUGUCUGAAUCGUGCUGGGUUGUUGGUGAGCAAACAUGCUUUUUAUUCUAAUUAAGCUUGUUAGAUACAGGUAACUGCAGGGUAAUCAGCUGAGUUCAACACACAAAAUGUACGUGGGGCCCAAUCCAACUCCAGCUGAAGUUAGGGGAAAGACUCUAGUUGUUUGACUUUAUGGGAGUUUGGAUCAGGCCCCCUGCAGUGCAUCCUCAUAUGGCCAGUAUGUCUCAUUUGGAAUGCUAGCAUUCCCACACUGCUGCUGCAACCUCUAGGCACUGGUAAUAGGUCAACAGGGUUAAUCAUUUUGAAUUGACUUUGGGAAUGACAGCGUUUAUGUAUAAUUGAAAUUUUAAGCAAAGGCACAAUAAAAGCUUAAUCAUAUAUUUCUAAAAAAAAAAAAUCUUUGUCCAAAUUCCUUACAAAUAACACCUUGGAUUAUUAAAAUGGAAGUAAUUUGAGAAUUUGCUUUCUCACUGUUCCUGCUUUUUGUGGUACUUUUUGCAUCCUCUUGGGUUGGGCAAAGUAAACAGACCAGUCAGUUUCACGAUUGUGUGUUUAGUCAAUUUCACUUUUGGAUUGCAGAUGUGAUGAGACACUAUAGGAAAUUGCUUAUUUAUUUUAAAAUCCUGCUUCCCUUGGAAUUUAAAAUUUUUAUGGAUUUUUUUUUUAAUGCUUUCUUGUACAAAACCUAAAUUCUGGGCCAAAUUUGAUUUAAGAAAGCUCAAAGUUAAACUUAAAAAAUAAGGCGGAGAGAGUGAAAAGUGUUUCUAAAUCAAGUGUAUGGUUUUCAUCAUAAGCUAAAAUGCCUAAAGUCUUUGAGACUAAUUAGUAACAGAAGGAUUCUAAUGCCCUUUAUAAACUGUGUGGCCUGAUCCUAUGACGAGAUGCACGUUGGUGGACCUUUGCACUUGUAUGAGGCCUCAGUGACUUCAGGAGGGCUCUGUGAAGGCAUUAGGGUCCAUGCCCAUGGAUCUAAGGGCAGGAUCAGGACCUAUAUAUUUAAUUUGUCCUUCGAGUCCCUCCUUAAAAGAAACUCCUUCCAGGAGGUCUAUAAACCCUAUAAAAGACCUCCUCUUGCUCAAGUAUCGAUAUUAUAGAUGAGACAGCAAGAGCAAGAAUGAGUGUGCCAUUAAAAAAAAUCAAUACCGAAAUGUGGAAGUAACAAAAUACGUUCUGCAGUUCACUGCUCCGGCCUUUUGUUUUUUGAUAUUUACUAGUCCCCUUCCUUCAUCUGUAAACUUUGCCAUUUGGGCUGCAGUCCUGCUCCCACUGCAGUCAAUGACAAAUUUCCCGUUGAUAUCAGUGGAGCAGGAUCAGUCAGGCAGGCCACAGCAGUGCAAAAACUGACACCUGUGUGUAACUUUAUACCAGCUGAGGAUCUGGCUUUAUAUACAUAAAGUGAUGUAGAUGCAUUAGGAACAUAAGAACGGCCAUAGUGGGUCAGACCAAUGGUCCAUCUAGCCCAGUGUCCUGUGUCUCACAGUGGUCAGUACCAGAACUUCAGGGGGAGUGCACAGAGCAGGGCAAGUUUGGAGAGAUCCACCCAGCCUUCCCUGCUGGCAGCCAGAGGUUUAGAGUCGCCCUGAACAUGGAUUACAUCCCUGACCAGCUUGGCUAAUAGCCAUUGGUGGAACCUGUUCUCCAGGAACUUAUUAGUUCUUUUUGAACCCAGUUACACUUUUGACCUUCACAAUGUCCCAUGUCAAUGAGUUCUACAGGUGAAUUGUGCGUUAUGUGAAAAAGUAUUUCCUGCUGUCUAUUAAUUUUAUCAGGUGACCCCUGUUUUUUUGUAUUGUGUAUUGUAUUGUACUUUGUAUUGAAGCCAAAGGAGCUAUGAUUAAAGCUGUGUGUCCGUCACGGAGGUCAGGGAAGUCAUGGAUUCCACGACUUUUGGUGACUUCUGUGAUUUUUGCAACAGCCGGUGCAGCUGGCUCAGGGGCUGCCCCUGGGCCAGCAGCAGUUUGAG